rnacentral:ncRNA from 1 species
ACAAUGAUACUUCCGUAAUUCGCGGCUCGCUAUAAAGAAGGCGUGUGGUGAAACUCCAAUGG